rnacentral:tRNA from 1 species
GCGAGAGUGGCGGAAUCGGCAGACGCGCUACUUUGAGGGGGUAGUGGGAAAUUUCCUGUACGGGUUCAAGUACCGUCUCUCGCACCA